rnacentral:lncRNA from 1 species
CCGUGAACAAGCUAACGUUGCGUAAUGUGUCUUUUUAUCAUGAGGAUUAAGUCGUAGUCGUUAAGCAGUUGAUCGCGGGAGCAAGUCAGCGACAGUGGUGCCAUCUCCUGCUCUGACGACAGUUGUGCCACCUGUAAGUGAGCAGGAAAGAUGAAUAUGUUAUCUGCAGCGUUGCUCCUUGCAAUAUUAGCAGGAUCAGCUUACACAGAAGAUUGGGAAGAUUUUAUGAAGACGCAUAACAAGAAUCUGUGGGAUCACUUUCAUCGUCUCGAUAGCGAUAUCUCCAAAAGCGUAGACGACAACAUCGACCAAGGAUUCGAUUUCAACUUCAAGGAUGGAAUUAAGUUAAGCGGAUGCAACGAAAUUUGAGCCAUAAACAGUCCUUCCUUACAGGAUGUUAACCAAGGAUCCCAUUUCAGCUUCGGGGAUCCGUCUACGCAAAAUCAAGACGUCAUACAAGAAGGACAAGGUGACGUCACACUUCAAAACGUCAUCCAGGGUCCCUCGUUUCACUACGGCGAUAAGAGUCCCUCGAAGCCUCUCCAGACACAGAAGGUCCACCAGCAAGGCAAGGGACUGGUCGUGGUGCAGAAUGUGGUGCAGGGACCCUCCGUCCACGUCCCGAAGUAUGACUUUCCUCAAUUCAAGAAUACUUUCGACUGGAAACCGUGGUCCAGGUGAACGAGCCAUCGGAUGGACGGGUGAUGGGACGGGUGGAUGAUUGGAUGGAUGGAUGGAUGAUUAGAUGGACGGGUGGAUGAUUGGAUGGACGGG